CCAACUCCAAGAGUGUAUCUUAAUGUUGCUGCAGUUAAAAAGCUCGUAGUUGAACCUCUGGCUAGUGAGGGUCCCCCGGGAUCGUUCGCUAGUCAUCCGCUCGGAGAAGCAGUAUUUCCUUAACCGGUUUUACUGUAGACCCAGCAUUUUACUUUGAAGAAAUUAGAGUGUUCCUGGCAGGCUUAGCUUGCAUAUAUUAGCAUGGAAUAAUGGAAUAGGACCUUGUCUGUUUUAUUGGUUGACAGAUAGGUAAUGAUUAACAGGGACAGUCGGGGGCAUUCGUACUCAGUGGCUAGAGGUGAAAUUCUUAGAUUCGCUGAAGACGAACUAAUGCGAAAGCAUUUGCCAAGGAUGUUUUCA
rnacentral:rRNA from 1 species